CAACAAUCCCAUAUUGAUAAUGUUGCCAUUGUCCUUUUGUUUUGGUAGGUGAAAUGGAAUCAAAGUCUCUGAAAAGUAGGGUUUGAUGCUGCAGAACUACAAUGGAAGGUAUUUCUAAUUCCUUCAAAAUGCUACUUUCGGGUCUUUGCUUAUUGGAAAGUUAUGUUGCCAUGUGCAUACAUGUUGUUGUCUUGAAUGCUUACCCGGGAGUGGUAUGGAAAGUGUCUUUAAAGUUCUGGAUUCCCAAAAUCUGUGAUGUUUUCUCUACCUCUUACCAUGAGUUUGAAUUUGCUGAAAAUGCUGGAUUCUUUUGAUUGUUACAUUUAGGUUAAUACCCUGAGAAAGGAAAAGAGAGAGUCAUCAGCCUUGGACGUUAGGUAGAAGAUACUUAAAUCAAAGAAAAAGAUAGUCUCCAACUUUCCCACUAAGUAGACAACAGCCAUUUCAUUUGCUUAGAAACCAAAAAUUUAUGGUAAGGAUUAGAAGAAUUCGAAAAUGGCAAACAACAUAAGCCAUGAGGUCUGGAACUGAUGGUUGGGUCUCGUAACCAUUGUCUUUGCAUCUCCAUGCUGAUUUCGAGCUGACAGUGUUCUUAUCUUCUCAUGAAUUCAUCAAUUGUUUCGUAGCAGAGAUAAGACGAACUGGGGACGGUUGGUUGUUGAGGAUUGUCAAAACAUGGAUAUGUUAUUAGUUUUAGUUUGGUGGGUUUUGGAGGUUAAAGCAGAUUAAAUCAUUCCACAGUAUUCUUUUCUAAGCUUCUUGGAUGAGUAGUAUUCUGCCAAAUAUCAGCAGUGAGCUGAAAAACCAACAUGAUGUCAUUGAAGAUAGUGUUUGUUAUGCAGCAUUCAGGUAUGGAAUGGUUCAUUUUCCCA